CGCGUCCCUCAGCCCUCAUUUCCCGCCUCACCCCUCAGCGCGUCCCUCAGCCCUCAUUUCCCGCCUCACCCCUCAGCGCCCGCCUCACCCCUCAGCGCGUCCCCAACCCCUCAGCGCGUCCCUCAGCCCUCAUUUCCCGCCUCAGCCCUCAGUUCCCGCUUCGCUGUCUCUCUCCCCUCCCCGCGCCCGCCUCAGCCCCUCAGCCUCGCCUCAGGUGUCGUGGUUUAACCCCAGCUGGCAGCUAAGCACCACCAACCCCCUGCUCACUUCCCCUUCAACAGAAGGAAACUUUGAGAUGGGACUGGGAGGAGGAGGACUGCAGUGAUGUAUUCAUCUUACUUUCUGGAGUCACGUACACCGAAAGCCACAGCGGUUUGUCUUACAAGUUGUUGAGGCACUGUGCCCAGGGGACCAGCUUCACUAUGCGAUGUCCCUGUGACCACG